rnacentral:rRNA from 1 species
CAGCCGCCGCGGUAAUGCGAAGGGGGCUAGCGUUGUUCGGAUUUACUGGGCGUAAAGGGCGCGUAGGCGGACUGAUAAGUCAGGGGUGAAAUCCCAAGGCUCAACCUUGGAACUGUCUUUGAUACUGUUUGUCUUGAGUUCGAGAGAGGUAAGUGGAACUGCGAGUGUAGAGGUGAAAUUCGUAGAUAUUCGCAAGAACACCAGUGGCGAAGGCGGCUUACUGGCUCGAAACUGACGCUGAGGCGCGAAAGCGUGGGGAGCAAACGGGAUUAGAUACCCCCGUAGUCCCUGUCUCUUAUAA